rnacentral:other from 1 species
GCGGCUCGAGCCUGUACGCCAGCCGUGUUGAUUUGAGCCAACACACUGGGAACGGGAGCCUGGAUCAGGGGCGCGCCGUGGCUCGCCCCGCCGGGCACCCACUUGCGACAGCAAGGUUCAAACCCGUGACGGCAGCGGCAGGCUGGGGCCACC